AUUCGAAACCAACUCGAUUGGACAGUUGACGUCUGACAGUAAUUCGUGUGUUCUGUGGAAAUUCGAAAUUCACGAAUUACGUGAACAGUGUAGUUAAGAAUUUCUUUAAUAUUAAGAAAAUUCUCAUAAACAACACUGCAAUAAUAAAAUAAUAAUUAUCGUCUAUAAUUGAAUAACUCAGUUUCAGUGCGUGUUAAGUUUUAAUCAUACAGGAUUUUAAAAUCAUGAGGUUGCGAUAGUGGCCGUGUACAAUGGCGGUCGGUGAGGCCCGCGUCCCCAUUCUGCAUGAUGAAAGACCCGCACAUCAUGACUCCCAUAAGUCCCACCGUGAGGAUGCGAGGCCGCGGCUGGGCCACGGUGAGAUGGUGGUCACGUCGCUGGUAGCUGGAGCUGCUGCAGGAGCAUUAGCCAAGACCGCCAUCGCGCCGCUGGACCGCACCAAGAUCAACUUCCAAAUAUCUCAGACGCCGUACUCGUGGCGCGCGGCGCUGCAGUUCCUGGCGCGGUCGCAGCGGCUGGAGGGCGCGCUGGCGCUGUGGCGCGGGAACAGCGCGACCAUGGCGCGCAUCGUGCCGUACGCCGCCAUACAGUUCACUGCGCACGAGCAGUGGAAGCGCGUGCUCGCCGUCGACACGCCGCAAACCGCGCAACAGCACCCAAUUCUUCACCUGCUGGCGGGCUCGCUGGCGGGCGUGACGUCACAGAGCGCGACGUACCCGCUGGACCUGGCGCGCGCGCGCAUGGCGGUCACCAACGCCGCCGAGUACCGCACGCUGCGCGCCAUGUUCAGCAAGGUGGUCAGGGAAGAGGGCUUGAGGACGCUCUAUAGAGGCUACCCUGCGACGGUGCUGGGCGUGAUCCCAUACGCGGGCGUCUCGUUCUUCACUUAUGACACUCUGAAGCACAAGUAUUUAGAUUACUUCGGCCGCGAACAAGGCACGAUAAUGAACGUCAUAUUCGGAGGCACGGCGGGUGCCCUGGCGCAAACCACAAGCUACCCGCUGGACAUCGUGCGCAGGCGCAUGCAGACCAGUCGACGACGCGUGGACGGCUCCUACCCGUACAGCACCAUCGCGGACACGCUGCUCACUGUGUACAGGUCCGAGGGCUGGCGCGGGUUCUUCAAGGGCCUCAGCAUGAAUUGGGUGAAGGGCCCCAUCGCGGUGGGCAUAUCGUUCGCCACGUACGACGCCAUCAAGAACGCGCUGCGGGAGGUACUCGUUACAAUGCACAGUUUUCGGUCUGACGCAACGAAAUUAUAACAUUAAACCUCGUGGAGGAUUCGUAGAGACGUUCUGGGAUCAAUUCCUAAAUGAAAUAUGUAACAUGCUUCGUUAGUCCGUCGUGUUCGGUUUAGUGUUUCCGCACGCCGCUAGAUGUCACCGAUAGUUGCGUUUCUUAGACGGUAGGUGGCGUUGUUAUUAAAUCGUUUGCAUAGUGUAAUGUAUUACGAUCGUAAAAUAUUUCUGUGUUUCUAUAUCAAAUAAUAGUUAAAAGGUUAUUUUUUUAUUGUUUUAAAUGACGAGACGAGCUUGCCGUUCUGAUGGUAAGCGAUACCUAUGAACAGUAGAAACACCAACACCUUGAAUUACAAAGUAUUGUUUGGUAUUCCACUGCGCUCGCCAUCCUGAGACGUGAGAUUUUAAGUCUUAUACUUAUACAUUAUAAUAAUGUUUUUAUAUAUUUUAAUAGAACUACGUAUUCUUUAUAUACUGAUUGUAUCCGAUCGUUACACUCCGCAAACGGUUUUUCAAUUGAAACUGUCUCGUUGACUGUCAGUGCGACUGAAGAUAAAUAUUGACAAUAAUAUAUAAAAAGUUGUUUUACGUAGAUUGACGAGCGGUGGAGAUUAUGGGAAUUUAGUUUACAAAUCGAUGUUUUCUAAGUACACUAUUGUAUCUGAAAAAUAUUCACUUUUUUAACAGUUUUUUUUUUAUAUUGUCAUACGUUUGUUAGCCUGGCAGGGCCGGCUUAUACAAACGGUCUUGCGGGUGAGUGCUUCAGGCACUGUGAGUCCUUAAGUGACCAUGCUGAGGACCCUCUAGAGGGUCACGGCCUCGGCUCAGGACGGCCUCUGAGUGAGGAUGAGACAUCAGCCAUUAUGGGUAACGCGAGAGGUGCGCAAGCGAUAUAUCAGUCUACCUAUUUUGCGUCGGCACGCGGCCGGAAUUAUCGGAAGGGUCGGAGGGACGGAGCUGCCGUCGUGUGGAGCUUUAACGUUGCGUUAUCUAGCUACUGUUUAUUACCAAAUCCAUUAAAAAUGUAGUAAAUUGUUUUUAUAGAUUUUUUUUUUCGUUUAUUUAGUUUUGAAUGAAAUAGGUUUGGUAUAACAGUACCUUGAUAAUGAAAUGCUAAAAGUGGAUCGCUAUUUUUACAGAUGCGAUUGUUAUCAGGAGACGUUGUAAUGUUACAUUUUAUGUAUAUUUUGUAAUGAUUUUAAAGUAUAGAAUUAGGGUUUUCAUGAUAUUGGAUAUCUAACAAAAAUAUUUUAGUAAAAAAAUGAGUUUUUAUCUUUCUUUUUUUAUGUGACGGGAUAAGCUUGUAGAAUGAGAUUAUAUCUACUCAAACAAAUCGACUCAUUGAUCUUGACAUGCGUAGCGUGUUAUAGACCAUGAAGACCUGGGUUCAAUUCCUAGGCGGGAAAUCCUUAGAAAAAGUUUUUUUUUAAAGAAAAACAUGAUUUUCCUGAGAUUGUUUGACAUAUAGUCGGUUUUUGGGCCGUAACUACACGAGGGACCAUAACCAAGAAGGCGUUGUACAAUCGUCAAAAUAAAAUAAAAAAUAUAAUGCUUUAUUCAUCACGUAAGCGAACAUAGCGCUUAUGAUAAGUCAAGGUACAUGAGAAUAUUUAAUUAUUACUCAAAAGUCGCUUAUAACUAAAGACAAUAUAAUAAACAGAAAACGGUCAAAAUGUAUGGAUAUAUAUUAUCGACAAAGGUAAUCUCUAGGGCAGGGAUGGCGCACUUUCAAGGUUUAUGUGCCAUUAUUUAUAAAAAAAACUAGUUGACCCGACAGACGUCCCGUCUUAACUAUGAAUUCGCAGCGCGCAUUCUGUCGAUCGCUGACAGU